rnacentral:rRNA from 1 species
UACGUAGGGUGCAAGCGUUGUCCGGAAUUAUUGGGCGUAAAGAGCUCGUAGGCGGUUUGUCGCGUCUGCUGUGAAAACUCGGGGCUUAACCCCGGGCCUGCAGUGGGUACGGGCAGACUAGAGUGCGGUGGGGGAGACUGGAAUUCCUGGUGUAGCGGUGAAAUGCGCAGAUAUCAGGAGGAACACCGGUGGCGAAGGCGGGUCUCUGGGCAACAACUGACGCUGAGGAGCGAAAGCGUGGGGAGCGAACAGG